GGGCUGGCUUUAGCUCAGCGGUUACUUCGACAAUUCUUCAAUUGAAACAAGCAACCUGUCUGGGUUGUUCGAGACCCGCGGGCGCUCUCCAGUCCUUUU
ensembl:misc_RNA Vault Vault RNA